GUCUAGCAAUAGAUGAGACCGGCGCACGGGUGCGUAACGCGUAUGCAAUCUACCUUUUACAGAGGGAUAGCCCAGAGAAAUUUGGAUUAAUACCUCAUAGUAUAACGACCUGGCAUCAGGAUGUUAUUAAAGUCACAACGGUAAAAGAUGAGCAUGCGUCCCAUUAGCUAGUUGGUAAGGUAACGGCUUACCAAGGCUACGAUGGGUAGGGGUCCUGAGAGGGAGAUCCCCCACACUGGUACUGAGACACGGACCAGACUCCUACGGGAGGCAGCAGUGAGGAAUAUUGGUCAAUGGGCGCAAGCCUGAACCAGCCAUGCCGCGUGCAGGAUGACGGUCCUAUGGA
rnacentral:rRNA from 1 species